UUUCUGUUUCAGGUGGUUCUACAAAUGUUCGCUGGAUGUGCAUAUCCUCAGAAACUUUGUCUGAAGGCACUGCAGUUCGACUGAAGUGGGCGAACAGAUCUAUAGCACCCGAAGUGUGCUGCUACGUGGUGUAGAAUGCUACCGGGCCAGC